rnacentral:tRNA from 1 species
GGAUCGCUAGCUCAAUUGGCAGAGCAACCGGCUUUUAACCGGUGGGUUCCGGGUUCGAGCCCCGGGCGGUCCA